UAUUGAGAGAGAUGAUGAGAGAGAGGAGUAACAAAAAUGAAAAUAAAAUCUUGAAAGUGAAAACAAUUUGAAAUAGAUUUCAGUUUUUAGUUUUUGUUUUCACUUUUGUUAAUCCUCCCUCCCAUCAUCUCCUCUCAUUU
rnacentral:miRNA from 1 species